GGCGGAUCACUCCAGAAAAUCUAGUCUUACCAUGCCCCUACUGCUUUGAUCUAACUCUCUUAUUUCCUCUUAUUCUCUCCCUUUUCUUAACCUAGUCCACUUCAAUCUGCUGAGCAUAUAUCAUUACUAUAGAAUGAUCCAUGUCCCUAUUGAGUACAAUAUAUCUACACUCUUUCACAACGUAACUCGAUACGCCAGUCAAAAACUUACUCAUAC
rnacentral:lncRNA from 1 species